rnacentral:tRNA from 1 species
CAUUAGAUAGCUUAAAUGUAAGCACUGGUCUCUUAAACCACCCUAUAAUAAUUAACAUCUAUUUCUAAUGA